AAUGAACGUUGGCGGCAUGGAUUAGGCAUGCAAGUCGGGGGAAUCCCAGCAAUGGGGGAACCGGCGUAAGGGGCAGUAAGGCAUGGGUACCUACCUUGGGGUUCGGGAUAGCCAUCAGAGAUGGUGGGUAAUACCGGAUGACGUCGUGAGACCAAAGAUUUAUCGCCCGUAGAGGGGCACAUGGGAUAUUAGCUAGUUGGUGGGGUAACGGCCCACCAAGGCGAAGAUGUCUAGCGGGUGUGAGAGCACGACCCACGCCACUCGCACUGAGACACUGGCGAGACACCUACGGGUGGCUGCAGUCGAGGAUCUUCGGCAAUGAGCGCAAGCUUGACCGAGCGAUGCCGCGUGAGCGAUGAAGGCCUUCGGGUUGUAAAGCUCUUUAGUGGGGGAGAAAAGCCGCAAGGUGUGAUCUAUCCCAAAAAUAAGCACGGGCUAAGUUCGUGCCAGCCGCCGCGGUAA
rnacentral:rRNA from 1 species